rnacentral:rRNA from 1 species
CAGAUCGCAAGUGUAAAGGGCUUCUCCCUAGCCCGUCUUGACCAAAGACCUAGGAGUCUAGAAUUAGUGCGAGUAGUCGGCUUAAAGCUUCACUGAGCAU